rnacentral:sRNA from 1 species
CGGCGACAACAGACAUCAGCCCGGACGAA